rnacentral:lncRNA from 1 species
UUAGAUGGAUAGCAUUUUAAAAAAGAAAAUUUAAUUUAAUUUUGAUAGCAAUAAGUAGGUAUAUAUAUAAAUAUAUACAUAGAAUUAUGUUACUAUAUUAUUAAUUGUACCAGCCGCUUGGUGCUAUUAGUUUUCUGCCAUUAGAUGAAAAACUAUGCGGUAAGGAUGAUAGUGAUGUCUUAAGGUUGAGUGGGUGGUUGAUUGAAUAAUAUGAUCUAACGGAGGAAAAUGGUCAAAGGGGUUGAUCUAACGACAGAAAACUCGAAAGCACCAAGUGCCGGAUUAUAGGUUUUCGUUGCCACUAUUUAUUUUCAAUGAUUGAGCCUCCAAUUCGAUGAUUAGCACUGUUGAAUAUAAUUUAUACCAUUUGAAGCAUUCAGAAACUAAAUUCCAUGCUUGUAUAAAUUCAUAUAUAACAUUUGUAUAUAUACUAGUUCAGUAUACGUGCAAAUAUACAUAAUAAUUAUGUUAAUGUAUUUCAAAUUAAUAUAAAAUAUNCUAAUUAAUGAGGCUAAAACUAAUGUAUCAAAUUAAAUAAAUCCGAGACCUUUUUGAUCAUCUAAUUUGGGUUGCUUUGAUGGAGCCUAGUAACUAAUACAACAAACCCAAUUAAAUCCACCGUACAAAUUAAACCUAAACUAAGUUGAUUUAAUUAAUUACUAUUAAGUCUAAUGAUGCGUUCAUUUUUAAAUGCUGUGUACUAUAUUCUUUUUUUAGUGAAACUCUUCAUUUUCUAUAUUAUUUGCUACAUUCUGUUGGAAGAAAAUUGCUUCUUUAGAUAAUCAUCUGGAGAGACUUAAUUAAAAUUUAUGCCACGUCGAAAAUAAGUUACUCAAUAAUAGCUUAUAGAUUCUGUUUGAUGUUUUUAUUUGUUUGUUUGUUUGAAUUUUGAUUUUAACCGUUUUAAAAAGAUGUGGCAUAUAUAAUCUUAUGGCGAUAAAAUGACUUGAAAACUGAAUAAAAUAUAUCUUUUUAUAGUGUGACAAAUUUCUUUAGUAAAUCUUCUCAGUAAACAAGAGUGAUAUAGUGGACAAAAUAUUCAAACAUUCAUAAUAGAAUCUAAAACUCAACACUUCAAAAAAAAAAAAUUAUACACCUACUACAAAGGGGCCUAAUUUUAAUAAUAUUACAUGUAAAUAGAAAACGCUUCUUGUACAUCCAAAAAGGAAGAGGUAGAUCUUACAUCCUCCCAUUCUAUGACUAUUAAAUAUUUAAAUAAUUUAUAAUAACCGGUAACACUGCUCUAUGUAAAUUGCAAGUUCUGAAAUAUGCACAAGUAAAAUGUGACUAAUUCAGAGGGUGUAUAAUAAUAAAAUAAAGGGCUAUACUAUUUGCCCAUGUCAUAGCAGAAUGUAAAUUUUAGAUCCUAUCUACACAAAAGUUUAUAUUUUUCUACUACUCUUUUAUGUUUGUUCAUUUUUAAUGCUAAAGAUUUUUUAAAAAAUGUCUAAACCAUUAGAUGGAUGUGAUGUAAAAUUUAUAGCUUACCAUUAGAUGGAUAGCAUUUUAAAAAAGAAAAUUUAAUUUAAUUUUGAUAGCAAUAAGUAGGUAUAUAUAUAAAUAUAUACAUAGAAUUAUGUUACUAUAUUAUUAAUUGUACCAGCCGCUUGGUGCUAUUAGUUUUCUGCCAUUGGAUGAAGAAAUGUGCGAUAAGGAUGAUAGUGGUGUCUUAAGGUUGAGUGGGUGGUUGAUUGAAUAAUAUGAUCUAACGGAUGAAAAUGGUUAAAGGGGUUGAUCUAACGACAGAAAACUCGAUAGCACCAAACGCCGGAUUAUAGGUUUUCGUUGCCACUAUUUGUUUUCGAUGAUUGAGCCUCCAAUUCGAUGAUUAGCACUGUUGAACAUAAUCUAUAUCAUUUGAAGCAUCCAGAAACUAAAUUCCAUGCUUGUAUAAAUUCAUAUAUAACAUUUGUAUAUAGACUAGUUCAGUAUACGUGCAAAUAUACAUAAUAAUUAUGUUAAUGUAUUUCAAAUUAAUAUAAAAUAUUAUAUUUUAUUAAAAAAUAUUUGCAAUAUCUUAUAUUAU